rnacentral:rRNA from 1 species
CCAGACUCCUACGGGAGGCAGCAGUGAGGAAUAUUGGUCAAUGGCCGAGAGGCUGAACCAGCCAAGUCGCGUGAGGGAUGACGGCCCUACGGGUUGUAAACCUCUUUUGCCGGGGAGCAAAGAGCGGGACGCGUCCCGCCUCGAGAGUACCCGGAGAAAAAGCAUCGGCUAACUCCGUGCCAGCAGCCGCGGUAAUACGGAGGAUGCGAGCGUUAUCCGGAUUUAUUGGGUUUAAAGGGUGCGUAGGCGGAUUUUUAAGUCAGCGGUAAAAUGUCCGGGCUCAACCCGGGCCGGCCGUUGAAACUGGGGGUCUUGAGUGGGCGAGAAGUAUGCGGAAUGCGUGGUGUAGCGGUGAAAUGCAUAGAUAUCACGCAGAACUCCGAUUGCGAAGGCAGCAUACCGGCGCCCGACUGACGCUGAGGCACGAAAGCGUGGGGAUCGAACAGGAUUAGAUACCCUGGUAAC